rnacentral:rRNA from 1 species
CAGUAGCCACGGGAAUACGUAGGUGGCAAGCGUUGUCCGGAAUUAUUGGGCGUAAAGGGCUCGCAGGCGGUUUCUUAAGUCUGAUGUGAAGCCCCCGGCUCAACCGGGGAGGGUCAUUGGAAACUGGGAAACUUGAGUGCAGAAGAGGAGAGUGGAAUUCCACGUGUAGCGGUGAAAUGCGUAGAGAUGUGGAGGAACACCAGUGGCGAAGGCGACUCUCUGGUCUGUAACUGACGCUGAGGAGCGAAAGCGUGGGGAGCGAACAGGAUUAGAUACCCCAGUAGUCCCUGUCUCUUAUACA